UACGGAGGGGGCUAGCGUUGUUCGGAAUUACUGGGCGUAAAGCGCACGUAGGCGGCUUUGCAAGUCAGAGGUGAAAGCCCGGGGCUCAACCCCGGAAUUGCCUUUGAGACUGCAUCGCUAGAAUUGUGGAGAGGUAAGUGGAAUUCCGAGUGUAGAGGUGAAAUUCGUAGAUAUUCGGAAGGACACCAGUGGCGAAGGCGACUUACUGGACACAUAUUGACGCUGAGGUGCGAAAGCGUGGGGAGCAAACAGG
rnacentral:rRNA from 1 species